AACGAACGCUGGCGGCAGGCUUAACACAUGCAAGUCGAGCGCCCCGCAAAGGGAGCGGCAGACGGGUGAGUAACGCGUGGGAAUCUACCCAUCUCUACGGAAUAACGCAUGGAAACGUGUGCUAAUACCGUAUACGUCCUUCGGGAGACAGAUUUAUCGGAGAUGGAUGAGCCCGCGUUGGAUUAGCUAGUUGGUGGGGUAAAGGCCUACCAAGGCGACGAUCCAUAGCUGGUCUGAGAGGAUGAACAGCCACACUGGGACUGAGACACGGCCCAGACUCCUACGGGAGGCAGCAGUGGGGAAUAUUGGACAAUGGGCGCAAGCCUGAUCCAGCCAUGCCGCGUGAGUGAUGAAGGCCCUAGGGUUGUAAAGCUCUUUCACCGGCGAAGAUAAUGACGGUAACCGGAGAAGAAGCCCCGGCUAACUUCGUGCCAGCCGCCGCGGUAAUAC
rnacentral:rRNA from 1 species